rnacentral:rRNA from 1 species
UGGUAAUGCCGGAUGCUCCGACUCCUCGCAUGGGGUGUCGGGAAAGAUUUCAUCGGUAUGGGAUGGGGUCGCGUCCUAUCAGGUAGUCGGCGGGGUAACGGCCCACCGAGCCUACGACGGGUAGCCGGCCUGAGAGGGCGACCGGCCACAUUGGGACUGAGAUACGGCCCAGACUCCUACGGGAGGCAGCAGUGGGGAAUAUUGCACAAUGGGCGCAAGCCUGAUGCAGCGACGCCGCGUGCGGGAUGACGGCCUUCGGGUUGUAAACCGCUUUUGAUCGGGAGCAAGCCUUCGGGUGAGUGUACCUUUCGAAUAAGCACCGGCUAACUACGUGCCAGCAGCCGCGGUAAUACGUAGGGUGCGAGCGUUAUCCGGAAUUAUUGGGCGUAAAGGGCUCGUAGGCGGUUCGUCGCGUCCGGUGUGAAAGUCCAUCGCUUAACGGUGGAUCUGCGCCGGGUACGGGCGGGCUGGAGUGCGGUAGGGGAGACUGGAAUUCCCGGUGUAACGGUGGAAUGUGUAGAUAU